rnacentral:rRNA from 1 species
GCCUAGGACAUGCAAGUCGAACGGGCUGUUUAUGCAGCCAGUGGCGGACGGGUGAGUAACACGUAGGUGACCUACCCCAAAGUCUGGGACAACUAGGAGAAAUCUUAGCUAAUCCUGGAUGUGGACAUCUACUUUGGUGGAUGUUUAAAGCUUCGGCGCUUUGGGAUGGGCCUGCGGCGCAUCAGGUAGUUGGUGGGGUAAUGGCCUACCAAGCCGACGACGCGUAGCUGGUCUGAGAGGACGAUCAGCCACAGGGGUACUGAGACACGGACCCCACUCCUACGGGAGGCAGCAGUUAGGAAUCUUCCGCAAUGGGCGAAAGCCUGACGGAGCGAUACCGCUUGAAGGACGAAGCCCUUCGGGGUGUAAACUUCUGAACUCGGGACGAUAAUGACGGUACCGAGGUAAUAGCACCGGCUAACUCCGUGCCAGCAGCCGCGGUAAUACGGAGGGUGCGAGCGUUACCCGGAUUUACUGGGUGUAAAGGGCGUGUAGGCGGUCUCUCAAGUCCGAUGCUAAAGACCGAAGCUCAACUUCGGGGGUGCGUUGGAUACUGUGAGGCUAGACGGUCGGAGAGGGUAGCGGAAUUUCCGGAGUAGCGGUGAAAUGCGCAGAUACCGGAAGGAACGCCAAUAGCGAAAGCAGCUACCUGGACGAUUUGUGACGCUGAGGCGCGAAAGCGUGGGGAGCAAACCGGAUUAGAUACCCGGGUAGUCCACGCCCUAAACGAUGAGUGCUGGGUGUCCGACAUCUGUUGGGUGCCGUAGCUAACGCGUUAAGCACUCCACCUGGGAAGUACGGUCGCAAGACUGAAACUCAAAGGAAUUGACGGGGGCCCGCACAAGCGGUGGAGCAUGUGGUUUAAUUCGAAGCAACGCGCAGAACCUUA